UUGGUGGAGGUGGUGUCUCGGGUUUUAUGGGCGGAGGGAGGGAAGGGACAAAGUAUUUGGCCAAUUGGGUGGAUGGCCCUAUCACAUUACCAAUAUAACCUUCCACUAUGGUGGUGGAUGAAAUAGGGUGUUGUUGGGAGGGGGGGAGGAAAAUUCACAUUUCACAUCUAUCACAUGGCUUGGCCCGGGCGUCUGAAUAUUCGAAUAGUGCACCGAAAAGAUUUUGGGGUUGGUCCACUCCAGGUAAUGGCGACCAAAGGAUGUUCCGCUUAGUAGAAAAUGCCGGACAAAAAUUCAAAUAGUGGAAUGUCUAGUAGUCUAUUCAUGGACGUUUCUUAUUCUUGGUACAAUUAGUGUAACCUGUACAAAAACUUUAUUGGUAGAAUCAAGAGAAUCUGGACCCAGAUUCAACAAAUUAUCAUUCAAAAUCUUUGUUAUAUCAUGAGAACACCUUGAAAAACCCAGAUAUUCCAUUAUUUGGUACCACUCCCUCUGUUUAUGUAGUGCUCCGCUUAUGUUGAAG
rnacentral:lncRNA from 1 species